GGGAGUGCUGAGCUAUGGGGCAGGAGAUGCUAUGGGGCUGGGAGUGCUAUGGGGCUGUGGGGCAGGCAAUGCUAUGGGGCAGGCGAUGCUAUGGGGCUGUGGGGCAGACGAUGGUAUGGAACAGGCAGUGCUAUGGGGCAGGCAAUGCUAUGGGGCAGGGAGUGCUGUGCUAUGGGGCAGGCGAUGCUAUGGGGCAGGCGAUGCUAUGGGGCAGGGAGUGCUGUGCUAUGGGGCAGGCGAUGCUAUGGGGCUGACAAUGCUAUGGGGC
ensembl:lncRNA